AUACAUGCAAGUCGAGCGGACCGACGGGAGCUUGCUCCCUUGGGUCAGCGGCGGACGGGUGAGUAACACGUGGGUAACCUGCCUGUAAGACUGGGAUAACUCCGGGAAACCGGGGCUAAUACCGGAUGCUUGAUUGAACCGCAUGGUUCAAUCAUAAAAGGUGGCUUUUAGCUACCACUUGCAGAUGGACCCGCGGCGCAAUAGCUAGUUGGUGAGGUAACGGCUCACCAAGGCGACGAUGCGUAGCCCACCUGAGAGGGUGAUCGGCCACACUGGGACUGAGACACGGCCCAGACUCCUACGGGAGGCAGCAGUAGGGAAUCUUCCGCAAUGGACGAAAGUCUGACGGAGCAACGCCGCGUGAGUGAUGAAGGUUUUCGGAUCGUAAAACUCUGUUGUUAGGGAAGAACAAGUACCGUUCGAAUAGGGCGGUACCUUGACGGUACCUAACCAGAAAGCCACGGCUAACUACGUGCCAGCAGCCGCGGUAAUACGUAGGUGGCAAGCGUUGUCCGGAAUUAUUGGGCGUAAAGCGCGCGCAGGCGGUUUCUUAAGUCUGAUGUGAAAGCCCCCGGCUCAACCGGGGAGGGUCAUUGGAAACUGGGGAACUUGAGUGCAGAAGAGGAGAGUGGAAUUCCACGUGUAGCGGUGAAAUGCGUAGAGAUGUGGAGGAACACCAGUGGCGAAGGCGACUCUCUGGUCUGUAACUGACGCUGAGGCGCGAAAGCGUGGGGAGCGAACAGGAUUAGAUACCCUGGUAGUCCACGCCGUAAACGAUGAGUGCUAAGUGUUAGAGGGUUUCCGCCCUUUAGUGCUGCAGCAAACGCAUUAAGCACUCCGCCUGGGGGAGUACGGUCGCAAGACUGAAACUCAAAGGAAUUGACGGGGGCCCGCACAAGCGGUGGAGCAUGUGGGUUUAAUUCGAAGCAACGCGAAGAACCUUACCAGGUCUUGACAUCCUCUGACAACCCUAGAGAUAGGGCUUCCCCUUCGGGGGCAGAGUGACAGGUGGUGCAUGGUUGUCGUCAGCUCGUGUCGUGAGAUGUUGGGUUAAGUCCCGCAACGAGCGCAACCCUUGAUCUUAGUUGCCAGCAUUCAGUUGGGCACUCUAAGGUGACUGCCGGUGACAAACCGGAGGAAGGUGGGGAUGACGUCAAAUCAUCAUGCCCCUUAUGACCUGGGCUACACACGUGCUACAAUGGGCAGAACAAAGGGCAGCGAAGCCGCGAGGCUAAGCCAAUCCCACAAAUCUGUUCUCAGUUCGGAUCGCAGUCUGCAACUCGACUGCGUGAAGCUGGAAUCGCUAGUAAUCGCGGAUCAGCAUGCCGCGGUGAAUACGUUCCCGGGCCUUGUACACACCGCCCGUCACACCACGAGAGUUUGUAACACCCGAAGUCGGUGAGGUAACCUUUUGAGCCAGCCGCCGA
rnacentral:rRNA from 1 species